AGAGCGUAGCUAAAAUAGAAUAGCAUCUCC
rnacentral:tRNA from 1 species